rnacentral:lncRNA from 1 species
AUGGGCUGUAAUUUAGUUCAAUUCAGAACUGCAGAUAGUACGGCUUUCACAGGAGCAAGGAAUGCCUGGGCACAAGUGCCUGAGUUCCGAGGGACUUUGGGAAAACACUUUGCUCUCUCCCUCCUUCCUGGAAUCAGGGAUUCUGCACCUGCAUCAGAGACCGUCCAGCCAGAGCCGCUGCUGUGCCUCCAGGGACCAGGAACGAGCACAAAUAAGCGUUUUGAAAUUAUUUUGACGGGCAAUACCUCCAGCCAAAGGGGAGUUUGGAAGAAAACAUCGUCCUCCUCAUUUUUUUGAAAGAGAAUAUUAACUCCAUCAAUUAUGGAAAGGAAUUAUUCAAAGGCUCCAGACAUAACUAAUUAUGGCUUAAAGAGAUCUGCCAGAGCAGAGCUUGCGUUCUAAUUAUAAAAGUCCAAGACAUUCGGGAGGCUUUUUUUUUUUUUUUUUAAAGAGGGCUUGGACACACAUCUUCGCAUAAUCUUUUUUAAAUACACCAUUUUUUUUUUUUCUUUGUCUGCUCUCCUGUUAUCCACACCUCCCCCACCACGGCCCACUGUGUGCCCAG